rnacentral:rRNA from 1 species
AGAGUUUGAUCCUGGCUCAGGAUGAACGCUGGCGGUCUGCUUAACACAUGCAAGUCGAACGCAACCUUCGGGUUGAGUGGCGGACGGGUGAGUAACGCGUGAGAAUCUGCCUUGGGGUCGGGGACAACCACUGGAAACGGUGGCUAAUACCGGAUAAGCCAAUUGGUAAAAGAUUUAUUGCCCUAAGAGGAGCUCGCGUCUGAUUAGCUAGUUGGUGAGGUAAGAGCUCACCAAGGCAGCGAUCAGUAGCUGGUCUGAGAGGACGAUCAGCCACACUGGGACUGAGACACGGCCCAGACUCCUACGGGAGGCAGCAGUGGGGAAUUUUCCGCAAUGGGCGAAAGCCUGACGGAGCAAGACCGCGUGAGGGAGGAAGGCUCUUGGGUUGUAAACCUCUUUUCUCAGGGAAGAAGCUCUGACGGUACCUGAGGAAUAAGCCUCGGCUAACUCCGUGCCAGCAGCCGCGGUAAUACGGAGGAGGCAAGCGUUAUCCGGAAUUAUUGGGCGUAAAGCGUCCGCAGGUGGCGAUUCAAGUCUGCUGUCAAAGCACGGGGCUUAACUCCGUUAAGGCAGUGGAAACUGAAUAGCUAGAGUGCCGUAGGGGUAGAGGGAAUUCCCGGUGUAGCGGUGAAAUGCGUA